ACUGUAGCGACUGCGGAGGACAUUAUCGAGAGCGGCGGGCCCAUCGCGGGCUCGAUCCGUCCCACCCCCUUGUCUACCAGCCUCUGUUGCCUCGGCGGACGGUCCCGCCGUCCGUCGGAGGACCUAUAAUCACGCUCUAACGAUGUGGGGGUCUGAGUGUCGGCUUUAAUGGCUUAAAACUUUCAACAACGGAUCUCUUGGCUCUGGCGUCGAUGAAGAACGCAGCGAAACGCGAUAGGUAAUCUGAAUUGCAGAAUUCAGCGAAUGAUCGAAUCUUUGAACGCACAUGGCGCCCUCUGGUAUUCCGGGGGGCACGCCUGUCCGAGCGUCAUCACACCCCUCAAGCCUCGCUUGGUAUUGGGCCGCGCCGCUAUGUCGGCGGGCCUUAAACGUGCUGGCGGCGUCGCGGGGCCUCCGAAGCGCACAUGGUCUUGCACCACGCGCGAGGACGGCCCGUGUCGCCCGCCACGGUGAACCCUCACCUCCACAUCGACCUCGGAUCAGGCGGGGAUACCCGCUGAACUUAAGCAUAUCAUAGGCCGGAGAGAA
rnacentral:rRNA from 1 species